CUAAACUUAUUGCAUAAUAACAUGUUGAAAAAUAAGUUUGGAGGAAAGAAGAAAUACAAAGUAUGUGUGUCACUAUUCACGAAAUACCAUGCUCAAAGGUGGUGGAGUAACAAAUCUCGAAAUCUGCAUCUGUCAAGUUCUGCGCAAUAUUUUUCCCAAGAAAAACAAAACAAAACAAAAGGCAAAAACUAAAAGAAACAAAGAAAAAGAAAACAAAAACAGGAAAAAUAAUUAUGUUACCUUCCAACAAGUGCUUCAUUUAACGUCUAGAGCCCGAUGAUACCUCAUGGCUUUAAUAAAUAUCAAAAGAAG
rnacentral:lncRNA from 1 species